GGAUGCGAUCAUACCAGCACUAAAGCAUCGGAUCCCAUUAGAACUCCGAAGUUAAGCGUGCUUGGACGGGAGUAGUACUAUGAUGGGUGACCUACAGGGAAGUCCUCGUGUUACAUUCC
rfam:Triticum aestivum genome assembly, contig: Triticum_aestivum_CS42_TGACv1_scaffold_393665_5AS